AUCUUAACCAUUAUAUAUUUAUAUUAUGUUUAAGGCUAUAGAUUCCAUUCAUUUUACGUCACUAAAAUACACCAACAUAUACAUAUAUGCAAAAAAUAUAUCAAUAUAUCCAACAUAUACAAAAAACACUGAAAACACAACAAUAAGAAAAAAACCUAGUUAAAAAGUGGGCAAAAUCUGGACACAUCACUAAAGAUACACAAAGGGCAAAUAAGCAGAUGAAAAGAUGCUCAAUAUCAUAGAUCAUCAAGGAAUUACAACAUGGAUGCAGCCGGAGGCCAUUAUCCUAAGCAAAUUAACACAGGAACAGAAAACUAACUACUGCAUGUUUUCACUUAUAAGUGGGAGCUAAACACUGGGUACUUAGGGACAUAAAGAUGGCAACAACUGACACUGGGGACUACUGGCGGGUAGUAGAUGAGGGAAGGGUUGAAAAACCAUUAGGUACUAUGCUCAGUACCUGGGUGAUGGGAGCAAUCAUACCUCAAACCUCAGUAUCACACAAUAUACCCAGGUAAAGACCUGCACAUGUACCCCCUGAAUCUAAAAUAAAAGUUGAAAUUAUUUAAAAAGGAAUCGCAAAUUAAAACAACAAUGAGAUACCUCUAUACAACUAUUAGCAUGACUAAACUCCAGAAAACUGACAGUGCUGUACGCUGGCAAGGAUGCAAAGCAACCAAAACUCUUUCAUUACUAGUGGGAAUGCAAAAUGGUGCAGUCACAUGGGAAGACAAUUUGGCAGUUUCUUAAAAACUGAAUAUGCUAUAUAAUCCAGCAGUCAUGCCCCCAGGUAUUUGCCCAAUUGAAUUGAAAACUUAUGUCCACACAAAAACCUGAACAUGACUAUUUAUAGAAGCUUUAUUCGUAUCAUCAAAAACCAGAUGCAACCAACAUAUCCAAUAGGUAAAUGGAUAAACAAACUAUGGUACACGUAUACAUUGGAAUAUUAUUUAGCAAUAAAAAGGUAUUGAGCUGUGAAGCCACAAAAAGACAAGGGGAACCUUAAGUACAUAUUGCUAAGUGAAAGAAACCAGUCUGAAAAAGCCACAUACUGUAUGAUUCCAGCCAUAUGACAUUCUGGCAAAGGCAAAACUUUAGAGAUAGUAAGAUCAGUGGUUGCAAGGGCCUUGAGGAGAGGAGAAAAAGGAUGAAAUGACAAUGAAUGAACUUAUUUACAUAAUAGUGAACAUCAUUGUGACUUCAUUAAAUGACGAACGGAUGAGUUAACUAAACUGUGAGUAAAUCUAUCUCAUCUUUCUAAAUUCCAGGCAUUCAUAUUUGAGAAGGUUAUGGAAGCCAAGGUUCUUGUUAUGUAGAUGAAGCCUCUAGGUAGUAUUCUUCAGAGAGAAUAGAUGGUCAAUGUCUCUUUUCAGAUUUUAAAUAGAGUCCAACUCAGUUAAAUCUCCUCUAGACCUGGCAAAGACCUAGAAAGGGAAAGAGAUUCUAAAGAUGCAAAA
rnacentral:lncRNA from 1 species